rnacentral:rRNA from 1 species
UACGUAGGUGGCAAGCGUUGUCCGGAAUUAUUGGGCGUAAAGCGCGCGCAGGCGGCUUCUUAAGUCUGAUGUGAAAUCUCGGGCUCAACCCCGAGCGGCCAUUGGAAACUGGGAAGCUUGAGUACAGAAGAGGAGAGUGGAAUUCCACGUGUAGCGGUGAAAUGCGUAGAUAUGUGGAGGAACACCAGUGGCGAAGGCGACUCUCUGGUCUGUAACUGACGCU